rnacentral:lncRNA from 1 species
UCUUCAUCUUUCUUCUUUUUUUUUUCUUUUUAUUCUCGGAAACAGGGCAUCCCCUGUUUCCUCUGUUUCUUUUCCUUUUGAAUAACAGCGGGCCUCUCUCUGUUUUCCUUCCCGAAUAGCCGAGCGGUCUCCCCAGCCGAGCGGACUCCCUUCAUAUAGAUCCUCCUGCGAUGGUUCCCCUGAUCGCGCGUGGAGAGAAGCUCAAAACGGACGCCGAGGAUUUGGGACUCAAAUGAUGUGCACGUAACAACCACAGUUCGCUGGGAGCUGAUCACAUGCGGACUCGGAAUGGACUGCUGGCCGUAGGAUGAGAUUUGGAUGCGCGAAUCUGAGGAAGGCCGAAGAUUGUGGGAUGCUGGAAUCACGAGCUUGGGAUGCUGGAUUCGGAUGAUGUGCUGGUGGGGAGAAAAAUCCGGAAAUGCAGAAGGCUGGAUGCAAACGGCCGGAUGCUCACGGAAAGAAGCUGAGAGCUAAAGAUGAAGCUUGGACGGCUGAAGGAGAUUGGAUCGCAUGCAGGCGGAUUGAACGCUGAGAGUUGGAACGUGGAAGCUGAGAAUGCUAGGAGAUGCUUCACGGACGGUUGGCUUGUAGACGCGGCAAGGAUCCGUCGCUGGGAGGUGGAACGUGGACGGAUG